UUCUAUUACAAAAUAAUUUUUUUAAUUUAAAAAAAAAUUAUACUGUUUCACAAUUUUUAUGAACCGGACAGAAAAAUCCGAAAAAACAGUUUUAUUAGGAAUCUUCAACAUUUAAAAUUGAAUUCAUUUUUCAGAUUGCUCAAUGGCUCC
ensembl:ncRNA Y73F8A.1166 ncRNA